GACGAACGCUGGCGGCGUGCUUAACACAUGCAAGUCGAACGGAAAGGCCCUGCUUUUGUUGGGUUCUCGAUUGGCGAACGGGUGAGUAACACGUGAGUAACCUGCCCUUGACUUUGGGAUAACUUCAGGAAACUGGGGCUAAUACCGGAUAGGAGCUCCUGCUGCAUGGUGGGGGUUGGAAAGUUUCGGCGGUUGGGGAUGUACUCGCGGCUUAUCAGCUUGUUGGUGGGGUAGUGGCUUAACAAGGCUUUGACGGGUAGCCGGCCUGAGAGGGUGAACGGCCAAAUUGGGACUGAGAUACGGCAGAGACUCCUACGGGAGGAAGCAGUGGGGAAUAUUGCACAAUGGGCGGAAGCCUGAUGCAGCAACGCCGCGUGCGGGAUGACGGCAUUCGGGUUGUAAAACGCUUUCGGCUGUGACGAAGCGUGAGUGACGGUAAUGGGUAAAGAAGCACCGGAUAACUACG
rnacentral:rRNA from 1 species